rnacentral:rRNA from 1 species
GACGAACGCUGGCGGCGUGCUUAACACAUGCAAGUCGAGCGGAAAGGCCCUUUCGGGGGUACUCGAGCGGCGAACGGGUGAGUAACACGUGAGUAAUCUGCCCUUCACUUGGGGAUAACCUCCGGAAACGGUGGCUAAUACCCGAUACGACCAGCCUACGCAUGUGGUGUUGGUGGAAAGUUUUUUCGGUGGGGGAUGUGCUCGCGGCCUAUCAGCUUGUUGGUGGGGUAAUGGCCUACCAAGGCUUCGACGGGUAGCCGGCCUGAGAGGGUGGCCGGCCACACUGGGACUGAGACACGGCCCAGACUCCUACGGGAGCCAGCAGUGGGGAAUAUUGGACAAUGGGCGGAAGCCUGAUCCAGCAACGCCGCGUGAGGGAUGACGGCCUUCGGGUUGUAAACCUCUUUCAGCGGGGACGAAGCCUUCGGGUGACGGUACCCGCAGAAGAAGCACCGGCCAACUACGUGCCAGCCGCCGCCGUAAGAC